AUGCAAACUCCAUCCAACCCAUCCCACCGCUCGUUGGUUCACCGGACCCAAAAUGGUGCAAGCGCUAGCUGGCUAGCUGCAGUGUCACAUCCACCGCGCAUCGUCUCCAUCUGCAUUCACAUGCAUAUCUGCCGCGCAUCGUCUCUGCCUGGUUGCGUCCACGUCCGUCUUCAUAUAAUAGCGUGUGCCAGAGACCGAUCGAGGUCCAUCUCAUUCUCCUCUCCACAGUCCACUCCACAAACACAGGCCACAAAGCAGCUGAUUUCCUUCUCGUGCGCGGCGUCGGCGAUGGAGGCUGGUGGUGCUGCCGGUGGCCGUCAACCCGUCGUUGUUAUUGUUGUUGCCGGAGCAGGUGCGGCGACGGUGCAGAUCCGUGCGGUGGCGUGUGUGCAGCUCGUCCUCGGCUUGGCAGCGGCGACAUUCGCCCUCUGCGUCACCACCCUCCACCCCCAGCUGAAGCAGCAGGGGGCUGCCUGCGCUACCACCGAGGACGAGGAGAACGCGGUGGCCAUGCGCACCCACGGGCUGCUGCUGCUGCUCUCCGCCGGCACCCAGGCAGCAGCGGCCACGGUAGCUGCCUUGGCGCCGGUCUCCUGGAGGCCUUCGCCCAGGAUUUUCGCGGCCUUCGCCCACGCCGUCAGCAUCCUCACCUACUUCCACUUCAUUAACGCCUUCGUCGCCGGCGCCUUCGGCACCUACCCUGUGCGCGUGCAAGCCGACAGUGCCGAGUUCAUCGCCCACUACGGCCUGCUCAUCGUGCCUCUCUGCGUCUUCUUCGGCAUCCGCGUCCGCGCACUCGUCGAGCCUUGA
rnacentral:rRNA from 1 species